rnacentral:rRNA from 1 species
UACGUAGGGACCGAGCGUUGUCCGGAAUCAUUGGGCGUAAAGAGCGUGUAGGCGGCUCGCUAAGUCUUGCGUGAAAUCUCGGGGCUCAACCCCGAGCGGUCGUGAGAAACUGGCGGGCUGGAGUGCGGGAGAGGAGAGUGGAAUUCCUGGUGUAGCGGUGAAAUGCGCAGAUAUCAGGAAGAACACCCGUGGCGAAGGCGGCUCACUGGAUCUUAUCUGACGCUGAGGCACGAAAGCCAGGGUAGCAAACGGG